rnacentral:lncRNA from 1 species
UAAGCGAUCUUUUCAUUCAUAAUCAUAAGGGUUAGUCAAAAUUAUGAAGAUAACUUAUACUGCAGUCACCAUAGAUCUAUAUCCUAAUGUCCUAAAUAUCUAUCCAUCUAUACUCAUCCUGUAUCUGAUUCUACAUGUCAUAAUUUAUCCACUUAUGCUCUGAUACCAUAUAAAUUACUCUGAUAUCAUAUAAAUUAUCAUGCUUUCGA